CAGAAAUUUCAAGUCCAUCAAAGAGUUAGAGCUUCAAAAUCAUGUCCUUUUUAAGGAACGCUAAAGCUAACCACCAAAAACAAGAAACAUUUACCAUAGAACAGCGGGAAACAGGCCAUAAUUCUCAAGGUAAUGAGCGUUCUAUCAUUAACCGUCCUGCCACUCCUAACAGACAAAACCAACCAGAAAGAGGUUUUGACGUUAGUCAUGUGAGUUCCAGUUCCUCAGUGACUCAGUCUAUGAGUACUGAAAGAUCAUCAGGACAUGAACUCAAUCACCGCCAUCCACAUAUCCCUCCUAGUACACCAGGAGUUGACCGCCAUCCACAUAUCCCACCUAGUACACCAGGAGUUGACACAAGGAUUGAUAUUAUUGAAGAAGUGAGAGAGGGAGAAGAAGACCCUGUAGAGAAUCCUGUACACAACCCUGGAGAAAAUCCAGAGGCAGGUUGAGAUGAGGGAUUUGGGAGAAAUUUCUAGAUGAUAGGAAAUUAUAUAUGAUUGUCAUGUUUUGGACUAAAUGUUAUUUAAAUAAGUGAAUGUAUUGGAUACCAUGAAUUCCAUCUGGCUUAUGCAAGUUAAUGAGAUUGAAAAAUAAUAAUAAUAAUAAAUAAAUUUGCUUUUUUUUUUUUUUACCUUAUUCUUAAUCUAGUAGUUAAGUAAUUUUAUGCUUGCAUUUCAUCAAGGUUAUGGUAACUCGCGCUAGAAACACGAACAAUAGGAAUGGUCAACCCCGGACCGAACCAACAAAAUUGAACAAUAAUAAUCACAACUAAAAUGACCGAUUCACAAUAUGGCACCACCCGCCAUACAACAUGUUGCACUACCACCUGCAGAGAGGAGUGUGGCUGUAAUAGUGAACAAUAUCGUAAGCAACAACCUCCUAGCUUUGAAGGAAACACAGAUUCACUAGUGGUAGAAGAAUGGAUAAGCAAGCAAGAAUAGAUCUUUGAACUUGUUGAGUGCCUCGAAAUUUGGAAGGUAAUCUAUGCAAACUUUACGCUGGAUAAAGGAGCAAGAUACUGGUGGAAAAUGACCAACAGGUCCAAAGCAGCUAGACAAGGCCAAAUGUGGAAUGAAUUCAAAGAAUUAUUCCUACAAAAAUAGCUCCCCAGGUUAAUUAUCCCAAUAGUCAUUAAACUUUGCCAAAUGUUCCCGAAAGGUCACCGAACUUCAAAAUGUUCUUAGGAGGUCACUGAACUUUGCAAAAUGUUCCUAGGAGGUAACCGAACUUCAAAAUGUUUCCAGGAGAUCAUUGAACUUUGCAAAAUGUUCCUAUGAGGUCACUGAACUUUACGAAAAUUUCCUAGGAGAUCAUUAAACUUUUGCGAAAAUUUACUAGGAGAUCACUAAAAUCAUUAAUGUAUGGUGCUAUUUUUGUAAAGUUUAGUGACUUCUUGGAAAUAUUUUACAAAGUUUAAUGACCUCCUAAGAACAUUUUUCAAAUUUCAGUGACCUCCCAUGGACAUUUUGAAGUUUGGUGACCUCUUGGGAACAUUUGGUAAAGUUCAGUGAUUAUUGGGAUAAUUUACCCAGGGAAGAACUAUCUUGCUACGCCCCACAAUUGGUUAAUACUGAGGAAAAGAAAAUGAGAGGCAUUGAACAUUGUCUACAUGAUGAUGUCUGACAAUUAAUGGUCACCUUUGAAUUGGAUACAUAACACGAAGUAUUGGUAAAGGCAGAGUUAGCCAAGUUCAAAGAAAAUGCCAAUAGUACCAGUAAACCUGAGCAAUUUAUAUUGCGAAAGAAGCGUGAAUGGAAGGAUUACAAAGAUGAGAUAAGCAAAAUUUUGCUAAGAAAGGGAAAAAAGGGUAUUUACAAGCAAAUAUUCGGAGAAUCCAAUUUGUGACAAUUGUUAGAAGCAUCACGUUGGAAGGAAAAUGCCUCAUGGGAACCAAUGUAUGCUUCUAUUGUGGAGAGAUAGGUCACGUGGCAUAGUUUUACCCUAAGAAUCAGAAGUUGAGUCAACCACCACAAAAACAGAAACUCGGGAAUCUAUCUAAAGGGUAAGCCAAGGUCUAUGCCCUUAUUGAACGUGAGGAGGAUGUCGGCCAAAAUAUUUUGGCCGUUAAAUUCUCAUAUCUAGUACUCUUGUAUAUGUCUUGAUAGAUUUGAGCUCCACCCACUAUUUUAUAUCGCCAAAAUUUUUUAGCACAAUAGAUGUAAGUAGUGAUGUUGCCUAUACACCUUUAGAAAUUAUCAUCCCUUCAGGGAAUAUACUUAACACAAGUUACAUAGUAAGGACGGUAGGGGUAGAAAUUAAUGGUAAAAUCUUGUACAUAAAUCUAUACGUCUUGAACAUAAGUGUGUUCAACAUAAUCUUGGGAAUGGACUGGCUUUCAAAGAACCAUGCAACAAUUCUAUGCUUUAAGAGGGAAGUGAUUUUUAGAUGGCCUGGGGAAGUAGAAGUUUACCUUUCAGGGCACAAAACAAAACCCCUACCCAAAGUCAUUUUUACCUUAAAGGCCCAAAAAGUUUUAAAGUCGGAAAGAUGCAUAGGGUUCUUGAUGUCAGUGCUGGUGGUAAUCGAAGAUGUCAAAAUAGUACGGGAAUUUUCAAGAAUCUCUCUCGAAGACUUACCUGGAAUACCUCCAAAAUGGGAAGUAGAGUUCAAAAUUGAUUUGGCUCCCGAUUCUGCUCCUAUUUCUAAAGCUACCUACAGAAUGGCACCAAAAGAAUUGUAGGAGUUGAAAACACAAAUCAAGGAAUUAUUGGGAAAGGGUUGUAUAAGACCUAGUGUGUUGCCUUGGGGGCACCAGUGUUAUUCAUUAAGAAAAAAGAUGGAAAUAUGAGGAUGUGCAUUGGCUACCGAGAAUUGAAUAUGAUCACCAUCAAGAAUAAGUAUCCACUUCCUAGAAUUGAGGAUCUAUUUGAUCAAUUAUGGGGUAUGACAGUAUUCUCAAAGAUCGAUAUAAGGUUAGGAUAUCAUUACUUGAGGAUAAAAAGCUAGUGAUAUCUCGACCUUUAGAACUCAGUAUGGUCAUUAAGAGUUCUUAGUUAUGCAUUUUGGCCUGACUAACACUCCAUGAACAUUCAUGGACUUGAUGAAUCAUGUGUUUCAUGAAUACCUAGAUCAAUCUGUUAACAUGUUCAUCAAUGAUAUACUGAUCUGCUCGAAGAAGGAAAUGGAACAUGAAGAACAUUUGAAAAUUGUGUUACAAAUUCUUAAGGAGAAACUUACGCCAAAUUAAAAAAGUGUGAAUUUUGAUUAGAACGAGCUGUGUAUCUUGGACACGUGGUCACAGCCCAAAGAAUUGAUGUGGACCCAAGUAAGGUAGAAGUGGUGAUAAAUUGGUCGAGACCAACCAAUGUGGGAGAAGUUUGUAGUUUUCUGAGGUUAGCAAGAUACUACAGAAGAUUUAUAGAAAAAUUAUCUAAAAUACAGGACCCUUGACUCAAUUGACACGUAAGGGUGCAAAAUUCGAAUGGGCCAAAAAAUGCGAACGUAGUUUCGAAGAUUUGAAGAAAGGGCCAAUUAAUGUUCCAAUUUUAACUAUACCUGAUGUAGCACCACGACCCACAUAGAUUGAGACGUCACUAGACUAAUUGUACUUAAGCCGUAAACUUGAUAAAUAACUAUACUUUUAGCGGAAAGUAUAUAGAUUAAAUUUAAGAAUUUAAUUCAAGAAAUAAUUUUUUUUUUUUUUUGCAAAAUAGUUCAAUACUAAAAGAAACAAUUUCAAAAAAUAUAUUUUUAGAACGUUUUCCAUGCAUGUAACCACCUGUUCUUUCACCUUAUUUUGUGUAGGAGCCGUGAUAGAAGGACUAGAUGAAGGUGUAUGUAUAGGACUCUUACUCGCAGAAGGUCCCUCACCAAAGAGCUUGAAAACCAGUCCUCAAUGGCAAAUCUCAUGGUAGAUCCAACUUUCAUUCCAUGGUCCUUCUUAAAUUGAUCAAUCAACAUAUGCUUGACACCAUACCGCUCUGAGUUGAUCUCAGCCAACAACCCCUGUACAAGAGUGGUAUGAGGAACUGUCCCUGUAUCUGAUCCCUGUGCUAACUGAGUACCAUCUGUAUGUGUCUUCAGUGUUGGAGAACUGAUCGGUGCUGGCUCAGGAAGCGCCUCAGUAAUAGCGGUAGGAAUAGGAGAUAGAGGAAGAGUAAAUGUAAUAGUAACUGGAUGAUGUACUAUCCUGGUCUCAAGAGAUCAUUGUAAAGUAGCUGAUGUAAAAUUGGAAAGGGCUUCUAGAGAGGCCUGGUAAGCUAUUGUACUGAUAAUUAGCAAAGUUGUAAGAAUGGAAGGAGCUACUGAAGAAGCAACUGACUGGUUCUGAACAGAGGAAAUCCCUCCAUUGGUCACCGAACUUCAAUAAGUCCCUAAAUAGUCAUUAAACUUUGCCAAAGGCCCCUAGGAGGUCACCGAACUUUCAAAUGUCCCUAAAUGAUUACUGAACUUUGCAAAAAGCCCCUAGGAGGUCACUAACCUAGUUAUGCAUGGGCUUCCAAUAUUGCAAAGUUGAGUGACCUCUUGGGGGACUUCGACAAAGUUCAGUGACCAUUUAGGGACAUUUUGAAGUUCGGUGACCUCUUAGGGGACUUCAACAAAGUUCAGUGACUAUUUAGGAAAUUAUUAAAGUUCGGUGACCUCCUAGGGAAUUUUGGCAAAGUUUAGUGACCAUUAGGGGGAUUUUCUCAUCUGAACGUGUAUGCUAGCGACAAUAGGAAGCGAAGCUAAUGUAAUAACAGCGAAUACAGAAAAUGAUAUCUGGACUCCAAAUGUGCUAGUAGCAUGUUGUCUCCUCUGGUAUCUCUGAACUAAAACCUAUCUCUCAGGCGGUUUAUAAUGACCUCCUUUCCCUUUUCCUUAUCCUUGGCCACUUCUAUAUUAUGUUUAGGAGUGGCGUCAACAAUUGUAGCAGGAGGUGGUGCAGAGCAUGAUCCAACUGAACAAUGGUCCUUAGUAUAUCCAAAAUGUCUGCACCAAAAAUAGUAAUCUGGUUUCUUCUCAUACAUAAUAGUCUACCAAUAUCCUUCAUACUUCCAAAUUCUAUCUGGGAGCUUAUACUCCAAAUUAACCUCAAUGCAUACUCGUACCUCACUAGGUCAUCGUAAAUCUGAAGUUGGCUCAUCAAUACGAAGUGGGACUCCAAUGGCCUUAUCUAAUGCAAACAAACUACCCUUUGCUUGAAAUUAAUGGGCAAUGAUGGAAAUGAGACCCAGACAGGGACAAUAUGUGUCUCAUGCUGAGGGUUAAAGCUGGGUAUCUACUUAAAAACUCGUAUGAGACACCCAUCAAUGUACCAAGAGGGCUUAAGAAAUAAGCGUGAGUAAUCAUCCUCAUGUGCCAAAUGUAUUAAGAUAUGACAAGUAUCAAUGAGCCCUAUCAUAUAAUCACCGCAAAAUUUGAAUUUUUGAAAACUAUCUUUUUGAAAAUUGUCACAUACCUUAAUCAUCGAGGGCUUACGAUAGACAAAUUUUUCAACAAGUGUAAACUUAUAUGGCUCAGAAAGAAGAUCCUCCUCUUCCUCGAUAAAGGCAAUUGUCGGCUCUCCCAUAUGCAUAAAAGGUUCCUUAGAGAUGAACCUGUGAUCAUUGGAGCCCUGUGGAGACUGAGUAAUGUAAGCAAAUGACUUUUGUUGGCUGCGCUCGGCCUAAGAGAUAACAUAUUUGAUGAAAAGUGCAGUCACAUAUGACUUUCUAGCUUGAUUACUUCCUGUAGGGCAAUCCCAUAACAAAUCUGAUGAUGGAACUAGGCCUGAGAUAGAAUUUCCCAAAUACUGCCCAAGUGUCGUCAGAGUGUGACCUGCACGCGUCUGCUGAUUAGUCAUCAAAAUAAGGUGAUGAUUUCCAAACGGUGUCAAAAAUUUUUGAUUUUUUGCAAAUAGGAGUAGAAUUUCAUGUUGAUUAUCGUGGUAUGGCGUGUCACCUGAAAAGAGGUCAGGAUUAUCUGGAAUUUGAAGAUUUUUGAUCGACUGGGCAUAACUUUUUGGAGGCAGUGACGGGGGGUGUGAAUUCCAAACAGGCCGAAUUUUUGGUCGAAAGAUCAUCUUCUCAUGGGCUUUGAUACUGUUAGGCACGUGCAGGGAGUUAAUGCCCGUAGAAAGAUUAUAUUAAAAUCUUUUAAAGUGCCAAAGGUUAUGAAAUGCCAAUGGACUUUACAUUUAAUCCUCACAUAAAAUACAUUGAAAUGAAACCUAAACAAUUAUUCUCUUAAAUGUUGAAUGAAGGGUUGCCAACGUUUUAUUUUUCAAAGGGCAAGAAAUUCUUUUUAUAUACAUCCGAACCACUAUUGGUCAUAUUUCUCUUUAUCAAGAAAUUGAAGAAGCUCUCUAACUUGGCCCGCUAUUCCCGGGAAAUAGAGUAAGGGCCAGUAGCGCUGGAUUUUACAUUUCAUUUUUUUCCAAGUCAUUUAUAUCCUUUCCAUUAUAUAUUGACGUACACUUUGUGAACAAGAAAUUUUUCCAAAGGAAGAAAAAGAAAAACAUGAGAUAGAAGCAAACUCUUAGAACUGUGGGUGCAGUCGGGAGACAACAUUCGCCGUCCAAUUCCAUCAUAUUCAAAGCUUCAAAUGAAGGUAGGUAGAUGUGCAAGUGUUUAUUUCAUUUUCAAAUCAUGAUUUUUCGUUAAAAUUUUGAAUGAGAUGGUACCUUCGGGUACUGUGCUUCGGCACUACUAUAGCUUAAAUGAAAUGGUACCUUUAGGUACGGUGCUUCGGUACUUCUAUAGUUGAAUGAUCGUUCUCUGGUUCUACAUGUUAUGAUAAUGCUGCAGAAAUUGGAUUUUGCCGAAAAUCCAUCUAAUUGCGACAGUAUGAAUCUAUAGUUCGAAAUUUCUAAUUUGGUAACAAAAUGCACCGAUGACAUCUAUUGAGUUUCAAACUCAUGGGCUAGUUCUCGUCCUAUAGGUUGAUUUGAUUUUCUUGGGGCGUGGAUGACGUUAGAUAAAGAUGCAACAUACUAUGGAGAAGCUAGUGACUUAAUGUUUUAAUUCGAUUACGAAAUGUACACAAUGUAUAGUAAGUAGAUAUCUAUGAACUUCAUAUGUAGAACUAUUUUAAGAACAUUUUUUUAUGAAUAAAUUUAUGCUCAAAAUUAGAUAUGUGUUAUAGAAAUUAAACUACGAAUCAUCGUUUACAAAAAAAAGGGGUUUAGCAAUUUAAAUGUUGCUGUUUCCAAAAAAUUUCAGUUUCUGCAUUGACUUUAAAAAUUUAUAACUCAGCCAUUGCUUAGAAUUUUUAGACAAGACCAAUGGAGUUUGAUAGUCUCAUAGCUUAGCUAUUAAAUAAACUUGGAAUCAUGUCAUUCCAAUGUCGAUAGAAUUUUAUAUGUCACUUAAGGCAAACUACACUGGGUAGUGUUUCUAUUUUACAAAAAUUCAUAACUCAAUCGUCAUUUGAAUUUUUUGGAUGAAACUAAUUGGAUUUGAUAGUCUGGAUUAGCUACUGAAUAAAUUUGAAAUCAUGUGGUUUUGAUGUCUGUAGAAUUUUAUAUGUCAUUUUAACUGAACUGCAUCGGUUUACCUUUCAAUGGAGUCGCAACGGGGUUUUGAAAAAUAUUUUAAUACCUCAUACGAUUCUAGCGGAAGCUAAUUUUGACUACGUCAUAUUAUAAUGAGUUUCCUAGCUUAAAAUAAAAUUUCAUGAAUUUUCGAGGUCGAUAAUUAUGCAAACAAAUUUAUUUUGUCACUUACCUUACUAGAUAGAAAAAGGGUAGAGCUUUGUCUAGUUACUGUUAGCAGGAUUUUGGGAAAUAGUUUAAUGCCUCAUGGUGCGUUCUAUUGUAGGCACUCCAAAUUAAAACCUAUACUUCUUAAAAUUAAUAAAGUAGCAAAAGUAAGGGUCGAUCCCACGAAUAUUGAUUAGUUUAUUUCUAUGCUAAAUAAACAAUUUUUGGAGGGUUUUGAAUGUUUUGAAAUCAAUUCUAACUAAAAACAAUGUAAAUUAAUAAAUUGGAUUAAAUCAAUGAAUAAAACUAACCUUGGCCUGAGUCAAUAUCCACCUUCAAAAUUUUACAACUGAUCCUGGAUGCAAGUGUGAAUCAAUUCAUAUUUUCGGACAUUCAUCACUGGAAAAAUAAUUACCAUUCAAAUUAAUUUCCUAUUCCUCCUUAAGCCACGCGCUAAGAUUUAAUUCAAUAACAACUUUUUAAUUCAAUAACAACUUUACGUAUUAGAAAAAUUGAUGAACUAGAUAACACAAGUCACACAUUUGCAUUUAACCUAUUCAAACAUUCUUCCUAAGAUUAAAUAAUUUCCAAUCUAGCAAAUCACUAAUCCUAGUUGCUUCACAAGUUAAAUUAAUCAAACAAUUACGGAUUUGAUGUUUAACUCAGUGGAAGAUUGUAAUGAAUAACAAACUAUAUGUAUCCUAACAAUUAAACACAACAAUAAUUGAAAAUAAGUACAAAAGAAUGUUUAAUACCCAAAAACAUGAAUUAAACUAAUAAAACAAUUCGAUCUCACAGUUGUACAGAUUUCGGGGCUUCCAUAUCCUCGACCAAGUAUGAAAAAUUAGCUAGGCAUUUGCAGUUUUAGAGCACAAAAGAGAGAAAAGUGUUUUGGGGGUGUUCCCUCACGUUCUAGGGUUAAUUAGGGUAUUUAUAUGGUGAAAGGAUUUGUUUCCAUAAAUGGUUGGACGGAAAAAGGAAACUAACGACCGCAAUGUUAAAUUGUGUGCUAUCACAUGGUUAUAUCAAAACAAGGUCCUGAGUUUCCAGAAAUGGCUUGUGCGACUGCAUGGAAAAUGAAACAUGCGAUUGCAUGGUUCAUACGGUUUUCUCCGCUGGACAACUUUCAGUGUCUUUGUCCUAACUUUCUCUCCUGAUGUCCAAUUUAGGUGAUUCAAGAUGAAUUGAAAAGAUAACUCAAAGAUUUAAAAUUUUGUUAUAGAAUUUAUCUUCCAUUUCGAUCGUCUGCCAUGUCGAAAAUGGGUCCCAAUAUGAUGUUGAAAACCGGUGCAUAACCAUUUCGAUCGGAAAUUGAUGUGUGAUUGGACUUCAAUUAUAUUUCACCUCUUUGACUUCUUUCCUCAUCAACUUGACCUCUAAAAUUAUUGAAUCUUCAUUCCUUCGCUCGUCUCAUUUAAGGAUUAUUUGCAACUUGGUCCCUAAACUUUCAUCUUCUCUUUCCUUGGCCUCUUUUUCUUGUUUUACUUCUUCCAACACUUUAAGUCUUCCAUUAAUUGACCUUUAAAUCUUUCACUCCUUUAUUUCUCCUUUCGGUUCAACUUUUGGAUAUUUGCAAUUUAGUCCUUGAACUUUUGAUUUCUUUCACUUUGGUCCUUCUUCGCUUCUUUCUUCUAAUUUAUGCCAUUAUCAUCCAAUUGCUACCUAAAUCAAAAUAUAAGGGUACUUAGUACAUUUGGGUGUCAAUUAAUCACGAAAAUGGAAGUAUUAAUGGAUGAAAAACAUGACAUUUUAUGUCUUAUCACCUCAUAUGUCACCAAUAGAAGCCAAAUUUUGGAUAUGCUAUAUUAUAAGAUGUUCCCUACAUUUUCUUAAAAUUUUGGAUAUGUUAUAUUAUAAGAUGUUUCCUACUUUCGCUUAAAAUUUUAUGAAAUUUUGACAUUGAUAACUAUGUAAACGAGUUUAUUUUAAAACUUACCAUGCGAAAAUGGGAAAUCAAAACCGGUUACUCCCUUUUGCUUCCUAAAGUAGUUCAUGUAUGGAAAACUAUCAUUCCUUUUAUUUGUUUGGUAGAUAACUACUUGCCACUAUUCACGUAAUAAAAUAGGAGUAUGCAUGGAUUUGCUCGACUCUUUUCUUCUUUAAUAAAUGCUUUUGGAAUUAUUUUAAUAUUAUGUUAUUAUUUAAAAGUAGAUUUUUAAUAGUUUAUUUAUUGGUAGGUUUUUUAUAUAGUAAACUGCAUGUUAAAAAAGUAUUUAGUUCUCAAGGAAAAUUUUUUAAACUAAAUGUCUACGUUUCCAUUAAAGGAAUAGUUAAUUAAAUUAUUAUUUUAAAUAAUUUCUAAGUCUAAAGCUAUGGUACAAUAGUUUGAGUAAUAUUUUCGUCUACGUGGGUUGGGGCAUUACAGUGACAGAUGUCAUGAUGGACCUACUUAGACAAUAUGACAAGUACAAGAGGCUGGAUAUGUUGAGUGGAAGACUGCAGAAAAGAUGGCUAGGUGCUUCAUUUUGACUUUGAUGUCAAACGUGUUGCAACAAAAUGCUUGAAAGUCGGAGUGUCUCCCAUUACAUACUACAGACUCUUUAGAGCAUGUUUGAUCGUCGAAGUAGGAAGGCUCUUUUGAAGCCAUUUUUACCUUAUAGAACAUCCACAUGAAAUCUAGAGUACUUGUGAAGUUUUAUAGUUUGACUAUGAUUGCAUACUUCAAACAUGGCUGAGAGUUUGAAUGCAACCAUCUAUCAAGGAUACUUAUUUUUUAACAUGGUACAGAAUUCUUUACCUGUUAAUUUUUCAAUAGUUUACUAUGGAUUAUCACUUUCACAAGAUGAGAUACCACUAAUUGAGUUAAUUAUAGAAUUGCAAUGUGGAAAGUGGUUUUGAUGGUACAAUGGCGAUACUCGUGCAUCAUUUGGUGGUGCCUCUAAUUCCAAGCCUAAAGGUAGAUUUGAAAAAAGAGAAAGAAAGAUAUCCAUAAGCAUAAGAGCUACAAAAGAUCAAAAGUAGAUGGAAAGCCUUGAGGCAAUAUUUCGGUUGAGGUCGAAAAGGACACUGGAGAAAGAUUACCUAGAUGCACCAGUUAGAAAGCAAAAUGUGGGUGAGGUUUUUCAUUACUGAGUAUUGUUUAGUGGUUGAUACUACAAAUUUCUAAGAUUGCCUAGAUGCACCAGUUAAUGCGGAUGUUUCAGAAAAGCAGAAAAUUGGUGAAGGCCAAUUUCAAAUUAUCGUUAUUGUAAAAGCAACAGUUUUAGCAAGAGUAUAAGAUUUAGUAUAAAAGCAGCAGUUUUAAAUAUUGUUAUUAUGUCUUGUGAAUGAAGUAUAAAUUUAUUUUCUGUUUUCGAUUUAAUGGGACAAUGUUAUUCUGUAAAAUCAGAGUCUGAUAUGCUUAGAAUUUUAAUGAAUAAAGUUCUUGUUUCCAUAGACAUACAAUGUCACACCAUACUAGUGAUAUAUGUCUAUGGCAUCUUGGACUAAUCAAUCUUAACAGAAUAUAAAAUUAAAUAGAGAUGGUCCUCUCAACACAGUUAAGAUUGAACUAUUGUCAGUUUCUAAUUCAUUUUUAGAAAGCAAUAUGACCAAGCUAUCUUUUUUCACAAAAGAGAUAGAGCCAAAGAUGUAUUGGAACUAGUGCAUUAUGAUAUGUGUUAACUACGAAUACACUAGAAAAAGUGAACUGUGAGCAUUUCUUUACAGUUGAUUACUCUAGAUUCAAAUACAAUUACUUGGCUUGAAAGCAGAUAAUUUUGAGAAAUCAAAAGAGUAUAAGACUAAGGUCGAGAAUUAUUUGGGGUAAGAGUAUUAACAUACUUUGAUCUAAUUGAUGUGGUGAAUACCUCUCAGAAGAAUUUAGGGACAACUUUAAAGAAAAUGAUAAAUUUCUUAAUUGAACACGCUUGGUAUACCCCAAUAGAUUGGUAUUUCAGAAAGGAAAAAAAAACAAAUAUUGUUAGAUAUGGCUAGGUUAAUAAAGAGUUUCAUAGCUCUGCCUAUUUCAUUUUGAGAUAUACACAGAAAACAAUUGGAUAAAUUCUUAACUUAGUUCUUUCUAAGUUUGUUCUCAUGGCUCUCUUGAAAUUUUGGAAUGGGUUCAAGUCUUGCUCGUAUCAUGUCCAAAAUUUGAGGGUUUAGCUCAUGUGCUAAAAGAUAAUAUAGAAAAGUUGGAGUCUAGGUCAGAGAAGUGCCUGUUUUUGGAUAUUCUAAAAAUACCAAGGGAUAAUUUUUUUACAUGGUCCUCUAGACAGGAAGGUCUUUGUUAGCACAAAUACAACCUUCGUAGACGAUAAGUAUAUUAAUGAUUGUCAGUCAAAUAAUAACGUCAUAUUGGAAUAAAUGAGUAGGAGCAAUUCUACCUCAUCAAUUCUUGGACCCAACCUAGGACAGACAUCCCAUGGUGGCAAUAUACUUGGACAAUGUGAUUUGAGCGGGAUAGGUGAGUUGUCAUAUGAUCGCAUCACCUUCAAGGUACUUGUUGAGUGGAGAAUCCAAUCUGGUGAUCUCUUUCAUACAAGGUGAUGAUCCGACUUCAUACAAAGAGGUUAUAGAUAAAGUAGAUGCAACGAUCUAUUUAUGAAUUAAAGCAGACAUCAAGAUCUAGGAAUAUGAAUUCGACAAAAUGAUUAAGACAUUAGAACUUUGAAGAAUCCUAUGUCUAUAAGAAUUUAUGAGGUAAAAUUGUAUUUUUCCCAGUACAGAUGAUAUUCUACUCAUUAGAAAUAAUGUGGGUGUGUUAUUGCCUACGAAAGUAUAGUUGGCCAACAAUUUCAUAUAAUUGACUUAGUGAAGCUAGUAAUGUUCUAGAUUUCAGAUCUUGAGAGAUUGAAAAAACAAAGUGAUAGCUUUUGUCCCAAGUCUCAUGUGUUGAUAAGAUGCUUGUCAAAUUUGCUAUAUAAGAUUUUGCAUUCAGGCAUUGAAUCCAAAUUUCUAAGGAUCAGUCUGUUGUGACUCCUAGGGAUAUUGAGUACAUGAGAAGGAUACCAUAUGUGUUGACAGUAGGUAGUCUCAUGUAUUGUAUGCUAUGCAAUAGACCUGACAUUUGUCAUAAUGUUGGUGUCAUGAGUCGAGAUCUAGUUAACCUUAGGAUCAAAACAUUAAAUGGAGAUAAAACAUAUAUUUUAGUACCUCUAGAGAACAAGGAAUUAUAUGUUUCUCGUCAGAUCUUGUUUCGAUAUGUUAAAAUAAUUCGAACUUCCUGAGUGAUGAAGAUUAUCACAUGUCUACAUUUUUUAGCAAAUACCACUAGUAUGGCUUAUUUUAUAUAAUAAAAAAUGAGAAUACAAAUAGAGAAGGGGGCAUAGACCUGACUCCAGCAAUUGUAAAUUGCAACAAAUAUUUAAAAAUGAAUUGCAGUCAACAGUAAAAGAUAUAAACAAAAACCAAUGAGAACUACUCAAGGGUAAAUCUUCAUGUGGUAGUACAUAGAAAUUGAUCGGGUCAUUCAUAUUAGUCUGCGUAGUCCGGUUCACUCGUUGGGGAGGGGUCUCGCCUGCGUAAAGGAGCUAGAUGAAAAAUGAUGUUCAGAUGGGUGCACUAAAUGUCAGGUUAAAAGCAGGUGCAUCAGAUCUCAUGAUGCUAGUCGCGAGUGCGUCUGAUCUCAUGGUACUUUGUGCUACAACAUCUGAAGCGUGGGAGAGUGAACUGGUGAUUGUGGGUACAUCGUCCUUUACAUUUUGCAUGCAGUCUCCAAGGCUCAUGCCAUCCAUGUCUCUCUCUAUAUGUUCUUUCACCUUAUUUUUUGUAGGAGCCGUGAUCGAAGAACUAGGUGAAGGUGUAUGUAUAGGAGUCUUACUCAUAGAAGGUCCCUCACCAAAGAGCUUGAAAACCAAGUCCUCAAUCUCAAAUCUCAUGGUAGAUCCAACUUUCAGUCCAUGGUCCUUCUUAAAGUGAUCAAUCAACAUAUGCUUGACACCACGCCGCUCUGAGCUAAUCUUAGCCAACAAUUCUCGUGCAAGAGUAGUAUAAGGAACUAUCCCUGUAUUUGAGCCUUGUGCUGACUGAGUACCAUCUAUAAAUGUCUUCAAUGGUGGAAAACUGAUCCUUGUUGGCUUAAGGGUUGCCUCAGUAAUAGCAGGGGAAAUAGGAGCUAUAGAAGUAAUAAUAGGAGAAGCAGGCACCUCAAUAGGAGCCUUUAGAAUAGGCUCAGCAACUAACUGAAUAUAUGGAGGUACCUUUGGAUCAAUUGUGAUGGGGUAGAGGGAGAAACUGCCGAUAUAGAUACUGACUCUAUCAUGAUUGCAGUAGUAAUGGAAAGCAUAGAAAGCACUACUGAAACUGGCACCCACUGCUUCCUUGGCUCCACAAAAGUCAUCAUGCCUUUACCUUGUCAACUCCAAUAAUACGGGGCUAAACAUGGGGAGGCACAACAACUGCAAAGAGAGGAAGAGGUGUACCCGAAGUACACUGAUCAUAAGAAUGGCCCAAGUGUUUACAAGAGAAGCAAAAAAUCGAUAUCUUCUCAUAAAUAGUCUGCCACAAGCUACGGUUACCAAAUUUUUCAAUCCAAACCUUGUUGGGCAACUUAAGCCCCAAAUUCACCUCAAUGCACACCCUUGUCUCACUAGGUCGUCUCAAGUCGGAGUUGGCCUCAUCAAUCCUCAAGGGUAUUCCUAUUAUCCUAGAUAAAGCAAAAAGGUACCCCUUGGCAUGCAGAUAUACUAGAAUAAGAGGGAUGAUACCCAUACGGGAACUAUCGAAGUCUCCUACUCAGGUGUAAAGUCACAAGUCCACUUAAUGACUCUCAUCAGACGCCCAUCAAUGUUCUAUGAAGGUUUAAGAAAAGUCUACUGUAAUCCUCCUCAUGCGUAAGGUGUAUAAGUAUGUGUGUUGUGUCAAUCAAUCCUACCUCGAAGCAACCGUGGAACCCAAACUUAGAAAGUAUCUCACAUACCUUCCUCAUGUUUGGCUUGCGAUUUUGAAAUUUCCCCACAAGUGCAUAAUUAUAAGGAUCAGAAAGUGUAGCCUCCUCGGACUCAGUCAAAACCGCUACUGGCUCACCCAUAUUUAUAAAGGGUUCUUUGGCAACAAACCUGUAACACCCCAAUUUUUUUCAUAAAUGUCGGAACGUUACGAAAAACUCACUUUUCUUUAUUUUAAGUGUGGAACUAUAAAAAUAAAAUUCUUUAAUAAACAAAUAAUUGAAACCUUCACAAAUUUAGCUUAAAACAUGAUACACUACAAGAAAAAUGAUAUUUUACAACUAAUGUUUCAACGACCAAAUUAAUUUGGUCGUUAAAAAUUAUUUUCAACAACUAAAUAUUAAGUUUGGUCGUGGAAAAUGGAUGAUGAACAAUCAAAUUUUAAAUUAGUUGGAAAUAUUUUAUAACGACCAAAAAAUAGUUGUCGAUUCUAUAGUUUUUACAACCAAAUUAAAAAUGGUCGUUGUCAGUGGGUGCCAAAUUAAAAGUUCCCACCAACAACAAUAUAAUUGAUUGUUAAAAAUACAAAAAAAGAUAGUAAAUAUUCAACAACCAUAAUGUCUGGUCAUUAAUAGACUAAAAUAACAGCUAAUUUUAUCUCGUUGAAACUAAAGAAAAAUUCAAUGACUACUUUAAUAGUUGUUAACAAUGUUUUCAAUUUCACGUCUUAAAAUUUAGCUUCCUGCCUAAAAUUUCACUUGGCUCUUGAAAUUUCAUAUCAUAGUCAAACAAUUUUAACUCACCCACGACAUUUCACUUCAUUCCAAAGCCUGAACCUCAAAUCCAAAACUUCGUCUCUUCUCAUGGAUUUGCACCGCCUCCAUGAAUAAUUCCUCUUCCUCACUAUCUCUGCCUCUUUCUCUUUGAGCAUAUAAAGAGAAAAGGGAACCUCAAAUUUCAAUCUUCACCAUCGUCGAUGGUGGGUCACAUGACCCACUAUUUUUUUUUCAUAUGUAUUUAAAUCAAAACAGAGUCCCACAGCAAUUGAAAUUCUAAUUGUUUUGCCGAUUACAAACAACAAUUGAACAGAGUUACAAAGCUCCAUUUCAAGCAACAAUUGAACAGAAUCCCAUUAGUCCCUUUUGAGUCCCAUUACAAGUAGCAAUUGAACGGUGUCCUUCCUUCCGCCAUCCCCUUGCUCCGUUGUGCGGGAGAUUUAGUCGACACGAGAGACAGGGAGAGAUUUUGCGGGUGUUGCUGUUGCCAAUUCAGCCGUCCGCCUCCUGUCGUCGCCAUAGCCAUCUGCUUCUGGAGGUGAGUACAGACUAUAAAUUAUUUUGUGUCUUUCAUUUUUUGAAUAAUUCUAAACGAAUAUAGCCGAUAACAUAGAGGAUGAUAUAGCACUCACAUAAAAUGCGUGGGCCCCCGGGUGAAUAAAAAAAAAGCCAACCCCCAUGUGUGAGGGCUAUGUCAAAUGUCAUCCUUUAUGUUCAUCUAGCAAGGCUUUAAUUUUACUUACAUCUACUUAUUUUGUGUUUUGAUUAAUGAUUUUGAAUAUCUGUGAUUGUGAUUUGCUUGAACUUACAGAUUCUGAAUAACUCAUGAUUAAUUCUUUCUAUUUUCUUUGGGAUGGGUAAUUUUUUGUUCAAAUUUUAACAAACUCUUCCAUCAAAAUUGUGGAUCAUAAAGAACCUAAGUCAUUGAAAUCCCUACAAUUACAAAAAGAAUUAAGAAAAUAUUGAUCAGAAAGGGGAUUAGCUCUCUGUCAUGGAUGAUUGGUUAUUGUAAUAUUGAUCAGAAAUGGAUUCCUCUGCUUUCAUCCCUGUCACAUACAUUAUUGUCAGGUAAUUUUUUGUUAAACAAUUUUGUAAAGGGAUCAUUGCAGGAGUAGUUGUACAGGUACUUUGUCAAACCAUUUUUUAAUCAAGGUAUAUACUUUGAUUAAAUUUCUUGAAUUAGUACAUUGCGUUUAUUAUUUCUAUAGUGGUUAAUAUGAUUCCCUUUUCACUCUUUCAGUUGGUUUGUUGCAGCCUGCAGGUGCUGGAUUCACAGACAUUGAGGAUGUUGUUCCUUUCGUUAAAUGGCUGGAUGAUGAGCUCUCCACCUGGUACAGUUUUUUAUAUUGUUUAGUUUUCUUAGAGGAUUAGACUCGGACAUGAUCAGAAAUAGAGCAUAGUUCAUUGUUGUUAAAUAGUUAACCGUCUAAUAAAUCUUAUGGAAUAGGUUGAUGAAAGGGCAGUGCUAAAGCAUUUUGAUUGGCCUGAGAAGAGGGCAGAUGCAUUAAGAGAAGCUGCAUUUGCAUAUUGUGUGUCUGAAGCCUCGUCAUUUCGUGAUGAUCCUAGACAGCCUUGUGAUUAGGGGCGGACCAAGGGCGGUAUGUCAGUGGGGGCAAAAGGGAAAAAACCUUGUGAAAAAAUCUGAAAAUCCAAAAAAGAUUGGGAAAAAGUUAUGAAAAUCAAAAAAAACUUGGAGAAAAUUUGAAAAUCUGAAAGUCGAGUGAGGGUGGCCGACCCCGCAGGUCCCUUCACAGGUCCACCCCUGCUUGUGAUGUUGCUCUCAAGAAGAUGCAGGCAUAGUUUGAGAAGUAUGAAAAUUUCCUAAUUUUAUUACGUACAUUGUCGACAAAUUGAUAAACAAAUUUAACUUCUGUGUCGUUGGCGACAUAUUGGAUCUUGGAGUUAAUAAUUUGUCAAAGAUGAGAGAAUCAGCCGCAGAAAGAUACAGAGCAUUACGUGUCCCAAUUGAUUGGAUGCUAGACAAGGGAUGUUGAAGUCAGGAUGUAAUCUUUUGCUUAAGUCAUGAUAUUUCGUAUAAUUAACACAUAUAUUUGUAGUUGAUGUUGGGAUAUUUUAAUUUAUUCAAUGCCAGGAAAACUUUAUUUCUUGUUAAUAUUAUUUACAAUUGGCUUUCUUUACUUUUGAUAGUUGUUUAUGAUUGUGGAAAAGAUUUGCUUGUAGUAUGAUGUGAAUAUGUGAAAGUUAUGAAUCCAUUAAUAUGUUUUUUCAAUGAUAUUUUAUCAAAAAAUAAUUAAUACAGCGACAAAUCAAGUAGCAGUUGAAAUAAAAUCGGUUGCUAAUUUUAUUUUUUUACGACCAUUUCUUUCGUCGUUGAAGUGAAACACAACUAAAAUUUGGUUGCCUUCAUUAUAUUUUAACGACAAAAUUAGUUAAUAGAACAACCAAAAAAGUGGUUGUUGAAAAAAGAAUUAGUUGUCAAUAUAAACUUUUUACUACUAAUUAUUUAGUUGCUAAAAUAAUACAUUCAAUGACCAAAUAUACUUUUAGUCGUUAAAUACAUUUGCCAACACCCCUUUGCCAACCAAGGAACAACCAAUUGAUUUUGGUCGUUGAAUAAUAUCAACAACGAAAAAUGUAUAUUAUACGACCAUUUCUAUGGUCAUUGAAAGUGAUAUUUCCUGUAGUGAUAAUCGUAUUUUUAAAAUAAACAUAUUCAGGUAACUAAUUCAGUAACAUUUUUAUUCUUUUAGAAUAAAUUAAACUAAUUAAAUUGAAAGACAGAAUAACUUAAUGAAUAUUUUUUGUCUCGGCAGCCCGCAUCACCAUUCAAUACCAUUCCAAUCGAUUCGAACUAACUUGUACAAAUUGUAAGAGUGAGUAUUUAAAAAUACCCAAUAAGAUAUGUGCAGUUUUCAUAUAUAGAUAUAUAACAAUAAAAUCUACACUUCAUACUGCUCUGCUUUUAUGGAGUAUAUCGGUGACCAAACGACACGCCCAUCUUAGGUCCUCUUAAAUUUCUGCAGGAAUUCCAUAUCUCUUUCUCUAGAACCUGAAGGUCCACUAGUAAUCCAUGCAUAUUUAAUUGUAUAUAAAAGUAUAUAGAAGCAUAAACAACUUGCAAAUAUGUAUUUUACCUCAUUUAAAAGAAUUCACAGAAAUAUGAAUUCGAGUUCUGUUUCUCAACUGCUUCUAUAAAAUUAGCUUGCUUUCUCUUCCUAAAAUAUUUUACCUCUCAGUACUGUGUGUAUAAUUUUUUAGGAUAUAUUAUGACCUCUCUUUCUUUUUCUCUGGAUUGUUUUUCUGUCGAGCAGCGUGCUUUACUAACUAUCACCAAAGUUGAGCACUGCUGGAAGACUUCAUUUGAUUUGUACGAUUCCACUAUUCUAGCCACUACACCAUAAAGUCUAAAAUUUUCUACUAUUCUGAUUCCAUUAGAUGACAGCAACUUGGAGUUUUAAUUGCAUUACAAUUAGCCUUUUAUCCUAAUUGGAAAAUGGAAAUCUACACAUCGUUAACCAUCUAUGUUAAUUCCCAAAAAUCAAACCAAUUAAUUAAUAUUAAAAAGAUUUAUCUUAUCUACCAUUCACAUGCCUACUAUACCCAUACAAUUCAAAAUCAAAGUAAACAAUUCUCUACAAAGGACACGUGGAUGGCUAAGUGACAAUUACCAAUAAUUUAACAUGCUAAUAUAUAUCAAUUCCUUUAAACGUCAUUCUCUUAAGCUUAUAGACUAUCCGAAUCAACUUUUCCUCGAGCCUAAAAUUCAUGAUUUAAUAUGAUCUGCCCAACAAGCACAAUAUUGAUAUAUUAAAUCUUGAUCUAUAAAUAUCUAAUUAUUAGACCCAAAUAAAAUAUGAUUUCCAAAUCCUAUUUCAUUCUCUCUCUUUUUUUUAAAUAAUAAUAUAAGAAACAAUAUAAAUAAAUUUAUUUACUUAGGAUUAGUAUUAACAACUAACCUUUAUCCUAAUCAACUAUCAAAACUAAUAUAAAUUACCAGCCAACCAUCAUAAUUAACUUGAUCAAUUCCAGAUUUAUCUUUAUAAAAAAUAUAACCCAUUCAUCUCUACACACAUGUAGUUGGAUCCCUCUAAAAUCCAAAGUUAGAGCAAAUAAAUCUAUUUAAAAUAAAACUACCUCAUCUAUAACAACCUACUCUUGUACUAUGUCAAGAAAAUUGCCCCUACAUUGUACCUAAUAAGUCAUUCAACUCUAAAAGGAAGGUAAUUUCUCUCUCCAUCAAGUUAUGAUCAAUUAAGAAAUACCUCUCUCUUUCUCCAACAAAUAGCUCACGUGGGAUGGAAGAAUUUAAAAUGAAUAAUAACCUAAUUAAUUAUAAAUUUAGGCAAAUCUUUCAACCUCAAUAACAUGGACAAAAUUUAUUCAAAAUACUUAUUUCUCGAAUCCAAUAGACAUUAUUUAAAAUGGUUUUGCUUCCUGUACAUCGGGGUGUACCUGAUGGUGUACACCCCAUUAUAUACAUCUAGCAUUUUUCUAUUUAAUACGAGCUACAUAAUGAGCCCAACGUUGAUAUACUUAUCAUUAGUAUAUCAAAAUUCACAUAUUUGACCCAAAAUAUAAGAAUUUAAAAUAUAUUUUGACUUAGUCCCUCAACUUUUGAAAUAGUAGAAAUAAUACAUAGAAUAAAUAAAUUUUUAUUCAAAAAAUUUCGAGAUGUUACAAAACCCGAUAGUGUAAGAGUCAUAUGUACCCUGUAUAACCGAAGUAAAAGACUUCCAUGAACUCUGCUCGGCUUGAGAUAGGUUUGAACAGCCAGAAACUAUAGUAGCAUAGGUCUUUUGGCCUUGAUUAAACACUAUCUAUGCCUUAUGUGGAAAAAUCAAGGACGAAAAUGUAUUUGGAUUAACUGCAGGAACAUUCUGGACAAAAUUCGCAGGAGGGCAACUGGAAUACCGUCGGUCGGUUGUUAGCAGCUUCGUUUUUCGAGCCAAAAUCAACUAGAAGUAGAAAAAUUAUGAAUUUAACCGGUCCUGAGGAUUAAGUAAAUAACUAUCAAGAACGAAGUAAUAUUUUUACUUAGGUAAUUUCCCCUUUUCUAAGAAAGGAGAAUAGGAAUGAAAUAAACUCGAAAUUUCAUCCUGAUCCACGUAGUUAGGUGCAUUUCCCAAGGUAAGGUCUAUAGAGGCCCAAAAAUUUGUGAUUUUUCGACAAUCGAGCUGAUUACGUUUGGGCCCAUAUCUAGAGCAUUUGUGCUCCGGUUUGGUUGAAUUUUUGAGCAAAGGUAGUCCGAUUGAUGGGAAAGAUGAAUAUCUGGCGUGUGCAUUUGUUGGAGAUCUACAUAGGGAUUAAUUGCAAUUUCAGUUUCUGACUAUACGGGGAAUCGAGGUUGCGAUUCCAACCAAAUCCGAUGUCUGUGACACUACCCCAAGGGUUUUUGGGCCUUCUGAGUUCAUUGGUGGUGAUCCUAUUACCAAAAUCUAACUAGAAGUGGUAAAAAAGGAUGCAUUAGGAUGCGUGCCUAUAUUUUUUUGAGUUGAAUCCAAUCCAAAAGCUAUUGAAACUAUUGUUUGUUGCUAGAAAUGAAUUGUGGAUAUUGUUGAGGGUGUCCUAUCAUCUAUUUGGUUGGUGUUUUCCAGUGGCAGAACAAGAGCGUUGAUAUUUUGGAGUUUUUCUCCCAUCCAAGAGAGAAGACUAUCACAUGUCUACAUAAGUAUCAUUGUUUACAUUUGAUGGUGGGGCCAUUAUUUGGAGAAAUAUCAAGUAGUCAUGCAUUGCUAAUUACACCAUUGAUGCCAAGUAUUUGGCAGCUUGUGAAGCAACUAAAUUGGCUGCAUCAGAGAAUCCGUACGGAUAUCGAAGUGGUACAUACAUCAGCACAACCCUUUACAUUGUAUUGGGAUUACAGUAGGACUAUUACAAACGCUAAAGAACCAAGAACUAUCAAAGGGGUAAACCCAUUAAAUGAAAAUAUCAUCUCUUAAGAGAGAUAAUUGGUAGAGAAAAUAUGGUUUUCAGUAAUAUUGCUACUAAGAUAAUCUUGUAGACUCAUUUACUAAGAUCAUAUUAGCUAUGGUUUUUGAGGGAUAUCUACAAGAUAUGAGGUUGCAAGACGUGACACCUAUACUCUAAAUGGGAGAUUUGUUAGGUUGUGUGCCCAUAUAAUAUAUUUUGCUUUAAUAAAAUAAUAAUUUAUAAUACAUAAAUUGAGCAUGCGAAUUAUUUUUUAUUGAGCAUACAAAUUAAAGUGCCUAUGAUCACUUAAUAAUAUAAGCUGGGCACUUUCGCUUAGAAGUACAAUGUGAAACAACCUAUAUUUUGAUCUUAGAUUAUUUGUUCACAAUCAAUGUAUAAGGUUGGCACUUUGUACUGGAAGGUUGUAGUACAAUUGAGAUUUGUAAUUUGUCCUUAUCACAGAAUUAGUUAAAUGUGACACUUGGAUUGUAUUAAACAGACUACGUGUUGAGUUUAAUUCUAUAGCAUGACCGUGCCGAUAAUUAAAUUCCACUUGACAACUGUGUAUUUCAUUUAAAUCCCUUGACGAGGCUAUGUAUAUAUAUUUUCGUGAUUUUAAUGGUUCUUGAUUCAUCGAUAGGUAAGAUUAACUUUACUAGUCAAAAUCUCGAUGUGUUAGGAACUUUAGAAUGAGCAAAAUAGAGAGCACGUAUUCGUGUCAGGAACCGUCACCUUGAAAAUUGGGUAGAGUGACUACUUAAGUUUUUUUUUAUCGAUUAAAAUCUUAUCUCAAUGUUUAGUGACGACUAAACUUUGAUGUGAUUAGUUCAAAGGACCAUUAAAAAAAAGAUACUUCAAUUAGUGAGAACAAUUAGAAGGGAACAUUUUUUUAUUUAUGCUCAUACUUAAUUAUCAGAUCUAGAACGGGGAUAAUGUAUAUAUAUGGUAGGUCAGAAAAAAGUAUUACAAAUUUAAAAGUAUUACAGAUUUAUUGGCUUCUGUGAUCUUAUAUAUUUCAAGAAUUCAGUCUUUAAUCUUUAGUGGAAAAAAUAAAGACUAAUAAUUAGAUUGAGUGGUCAAGGGUUGACUAGACAGUAUCUAAUUAUUGUAGUUUGAAUAAUAUAUGUCCCAUCGGGUUCUUAUGAUAGCUCUAUAAAGUAAUGAAAUUUAAUUACAGUAAUUGUAAUAGAUUUGGGCUUAAUUGUAAUUAAAAUAUAGUUUUUUACUUAUUUGUAGUUACUAUUAAAAAAACUUAUUUAUAAUUAUAAUUGAAAUUCUAGAACUGCACAUGUUACAUAUAAACUAAUUGAAUUUGGACUUUUAUUGCAACUCGCACCUGGAUUUUAAUUAGAACUCUAAUUUGAUGUGAAAUUAUUAUUGUACAAGGAUUGUAACUAUUAUAUCUCUAAAAAUUUAGAUUAGAUGGAAACUCGAUAUCCUAUAGGAUUGUACAACAAUCAUAAUACAUAACUCCAUGGUGUUCGAAGUUGAAAAGAGAAAAAGAGAGAGAGAAAAUUUAUUUUUUCAUCUUACUCAAUUGUCCUCUUAUUUAAGAAUUAGUUUCUUCAUUUAAUUAAAAGGCCGUGUCCGUCCACCAGUUUAAUCUUGACUUUGGAGAAUACCAUAGAAGACUUGGAGUCUGAAGCAUCAAGUUUUUGGAAUUAAAAAGUUGAAAGUUCUUGAUUUAGAAUUAAUUCAAUAAUUGAUCACUGAAUUUAGGUAAAAAUUCGAAUUCUUAUUCUUAAUAGCACAUAAACAACUGGACGACCUUGUUCAUUGAACUAAAGAAAUUUCUAAACUUCUAGAUAAUUUCGCUUCAAUAUUCCAAUUGGUACAAGGUCAAGAUCCUCAUCUUUUGUUUAACUUGCUCUGAUCUAAUGUAUGCCUUGAAUGGCUUAUCUAAGAAAUGUAUAAACUAGCGAGCUUUUGAGGGUGAAAUUACCUCACCUUCGCAACAACUACCACAAAACGUUUAUUAGCACCAUUCAAAAAAAAUGUUGCAAAAAAGUUAUUAGCAUUAUUCUAAAAACGUCACAAAAAUAUUAUUAGCAACAACCAGAAAACGUUGCAAAAGGUUAUUAGCAACAAUCAACGAAUGUUGCCAAAAAAAAAAAAAAAAAAAAAAAAUUCUAAAAAAAAAAAAAAAAAGACAAUUCUCUGAAUGCCAUUCGCAAUGAUCAUUGAAUGUUGUCGUCCUCUUCAAUUAUACGGCAACAUCAAAGCCCGAGGCAUACUUUCGAAGGUAGCAGAAGAUCUUUUGCAAUGUUUGUUUCUAGUUGUAAAAGGUUUUAUAGUGAGCCGACAUCGAGAAGCAAACAAAGGAGUCUAAUCACCUUACAACUGUUGCUACAAGGAUCACAAAUUGCAAAGAUAUGAGUUGAUUGUUACUAACUAAGACCAUUUGAACAAGCAACAUUUGGUUCUAAAAUUGAUCGGUGUGUUAGAGAGAUAACUGCCACAAAACUUCACCUUCGAGUGAACCCCGUAUUUGUAAACUCAGAAAUCAUCAAGCAAAUGAGAUAUCAUGCCUUUAUAUUUUGAAGGAGUACUUACAUCUGAAGAACUCUUUUUGUGAGGCAUAGGCCAUUCAGACAUUCCUUAAAUUAAGAAGAUUGAUUUUUUUACUACAUCAUCUUAGUGGGGAAUUCAUCAGUACGUUCAUCUUUUUUAGGUCCAAACAAGACCAUUUGAAUGACUUAGCAAAGUAGUCUUUGUAAUUUUUCUCUUAUAAUUUCAUUUAGUAAUGAAAAGAUAUCAUUUUACUUUUUCAUUUUAUUGUUGCUGAUAUACUACAUUUGUUAAUUUUUUUAAUGGGGAGCGUUCCGCUAACCAAUACAUUUGACAAAGAAUUAUGACAAAUGAUCUGGGCUCUUCAAUCUUAGAAAAUCUAACGGUCUUCAUCCAUAUGUUAAAAUCCUUCAAAAAUUGUAUCUCCCUAUCCAAACAUUCCCUACUCCUUUUAAAAUUCAUCAAUUAUAGCUUUUUUCCAAAAAAAAAAAAAUAAAUAAAAAAAUCACCAGAUUCUUCUCACCAAAUCUUCUCUCAUCGAUUUCACCAUUCCUCUCUAAUUCUCAUCUCCUUCACCAACAUCCAUUUUUUUUUUCAACCAUCAGAUUUGUGAUAUUGGCAUCAGCGGAGAAUUAAGGUUGAAACGGGUUUAUUCAAUUUGAUGUUAGUUUAUUCACAAAAUUGUGGUGAUGGCAAAAAAAGCUGAAGCCUCAGCUCCACUAAAUGUCCGAUUACCAAUUUGUCACUCGGUCUUUGUGAUGGGAGAUCAAACAAAUUUUGAGAUUGAACCAUCAUUUGGUAUUGAGGUGUCACAGCUUUAUCCUGAUGUCAAAUAUGCCUCUGUGGAUGAGAUGCUUGACCAAUAUGUUCAAGGAAUUUAGCUAUAUCUGGGUACAACUUCGAAAGGGAAAAUGAAAAGGGAAAAAUGGAUCUGCAAUUGCAGUGCCUUCAACUUAGUUUUGAAGUUCUAAAAUUUGUACUAUACCAUUAAUUUUCAAUGGAGCGUGUUUGUGCUGUCCAAAUGAUUCUUCACUUCCUUGCUCCUUCAAUGUCAAAGGCCCUAAUUUAUUGGCAUACGUAAAAAUCCCUUUAAUUGAAUAAAGAGUCUAUUCUAGAAAACCAAGAAAAUCCUGUUUAAUCAUUCAUUUACUGCUUAUUGAACACUUUUUUACCUUUCUUAAUGGAUAUAGCGAAUUGAAAUUGAGGAAAUUAAUUGUAUAAAUGACAGCAACGUCGCAUAAUAGAAAAGCUGGUAAAUUUGGUGUCCGAUGGAGGUAAGAAUGAUGUAGGUUACUUUGGCCAUAUCAGUACUUCUCGAGCAAAUUAAGAUUGAAUAAAUCAACACCAGAAUCUUUUUUUCAACAAUCGGAUUUGUGAUAUUGGCAUCAGUGGAGAAUUAAGGUUGAAAUGGAUUUAUUCAAUUUGAUGUUAAUUAACUUGGUGUUGAUAAUUGGAGAAAAAAAAAAAAGGAUGCUGGUGAAGGAGAUGAGAAUUAGAGAGGAAUUAAUGAUAACUUCUUCCUCCACUUGCUUUAUAUAAAGUGUUUGUUCAUUAACACUUUUUACAAAUCCAAGGCAGCUUAGAUGUUCAUCAAUUCGGCUGUACCAGACUCUUGGAGCUUGCUUUAAUCUAUAUAAGGCUUUCUUGAGCAAAUAUACCUUAUUUUCAUUCCCAGCCACUGGAAAACCUUCAGAUUGCUCAAUGAAGAUUUUUUCUUGUAGAUGUCCAUUUAAAAAGGCUGAUUUAACAUCCAACUGGUGAAUCAUCCAACCCUUUUGAGCAGCAAUAGCAAACAGCAAUCUAAUUGUCUCAUAUCUGGUCAUUGGUGCAAAUGUAUCAGCAAAAUCAAUUCCAUAUUGUUGGGCAUUACCUUUCACAACCAAUCUGGCCUUGAACUUGUUGACAGAACCAUCAGAAUUCACCUUGGUUUUGAACAACCAUUUAACUCCGAUAAUAUUUUUAUUCCUUGGCCUAUCAACGAGCUCCCAAGUUUCAUUCUUUUCAAUCGUCUUCAGUUCCUCCUUCAUUGCAGCCAACCACUCUUGUGAGUUUACUGCCUCAGCAAAAGUUGAUAUCUCUAGAACGGCUGAAUUGCAUCUUGCAUACACAUCAGCAAGAGGUUUGGUCCUUAGCACUUCAUUUUCUGAGUCAGGGUCACUACCCUGUUCAAGUUCAUCCUCAUUGAUGAUGUCUUCAUUUUCUUGAGUUACCAACCUUGGAAUUUGAAGGAGGUACUUGCUUCCCAAUUCCAUGAAGAAUAUUCAUCCACCUUAAUAUCCCUGCUGGACAUCAUCUUCUUGGUUUGAGGAUUAUAGGGUGUUUGCUUGUUCAAAGCUUUUGUUGGUAAUCUAUUGAGAAGAUAGGUUGUUGUAUUUGUAGUUUCAGCCCAAAACUCCUUUGGAACCUUCUUCUCAAGCAUCAAACAUCUUGCCAUUUCCAUCACCGUCCUAUUCUUCCUUUCACAAAAUCCAUUUUGUUGUGGUGAAUAUGGUAUUUUUCAACUAGUGUUUGAUCUCCACAACAUCACAAAACUUGUCAAACUGGUUACAUUUGUAUUCAGUUCCAUUGUCUGUUCUGAUGGCCUUUAUCUUGCAAUUACUCUCAUUUUCCAGCAACCUCAGAUUUCAUUUUCAAGAAAUACACCCAACACAUCCUUGUUAAAUCAUCAAUGAAGAGUAUAAAAUAUCUAUUGUCAUUCAGUGUUUGUGUUCUCAUUGGACCACAUACAUCAGAGUGCAUUAGCUCCAGCUUUUUUGUAGUUCUUCUUAGCUGAUUUUAAGAGAAUGGUAGUCUUAUUUGCUUCCCAAGUUGACAGGUAUCACAUACACAACUAUCAUCACAUAUGUCAUGCAAAUUUUCAACAAGUUCCAUCUUAUGCAUUUAUUUAAGUGAAGUGAAAUUUGCAUGAACAAACCGUUUGUGCCAAAGUGAAGACUUCACAUCAGUACAAGAGUAUGCAUGAGAGGUCAAAUUUUUCCAUUCUAAAGUGAAGCUUCUUUGCUUCAUUUCAACUGCCAUUAAUUCAUUUCCACUUUGAUCGAGUAUAGUGCAACCACUAUCCUUAAAUACCAAAGUGUAAUUUUUCUCAAUCAAUUGACCCAUACUUACUAAAUUUUGAUCAACAUCUAGCACAUAAAGUACAUCAGGAAUAUGUUUGAUACCUGUUGAAGUUCGCACAAAAAUCACACCAAUUCCUUUUACUUUCACAUUAUCACCAUUUCCAACCUUCACCUUUAAUUUGUAUGUAUUGUUUAACUCAACAAAGAUGCUGGAAUCUGAAGCCAUAUGAUGUGUGCAACCAUUGUCCAGUAGCCAAGUUCCAAUUUCACUACUCAUCUUGUGAUUUGCAGCUGUAAAUAGAUGCUCUUCAUUCAGGUCUUAUUGCUGAUUUUCAGCAACCUGUGCUUGCUGCUGUAAUGACUUCUCCUUCCGGCUCUUACACACUUUUUGAACAUGUCCAAACUCCUUACAUGCUCUGCAUUGAACACCAAGUCUGUACCAACACCAUUUUGGAGAGUGACCUAACUUUUUUGCAAUGAGGACAGGGAGGAUAAUCAUUACUCUUACCAGCAUUCUUGUUGAACUCGACCUUCUUCUUUUCAGGUGGUUGCUUCUUCACUCCAUAACUUGUUUGAGUCUUAUAUUUUCCUUUGACAAAUAAGGCAACUUCAACCUAUUCUUCCUGCCUUAAAAGUCUUCUUUGCUUAGCAGCUUGCAAGGUAUUAACCAACUCUGAUAAAGUUAUAGAAGANNNNNNNNNNNNNNNNNNNNNNNNNNNNNNNNNNNNNNNNNNNNNNNNNNNNNNNNNNNNNNNNNNNNNNNNNNNNNNNNNNNNNNNNNNNNNNNNNNNNNNNNNNNNNNNNNNNNNNNNNNNNNNNNNNNNNNNNNNNNNNNNNNNNNNNNNNNNNNNNNNNNNNNNNNNNNNNNNNNNNNNNNNNNNNNNNNNNNNNNNNNNNNNNNNNNNNNNNNNNNNNNNNNNNNNNNNNNNNNNNNNNNNNNNNNNNNNNNNNNNNNNNNNNNNNNNNNNNNNNNNNNNNNNNNNNNNNNNNNNNNNNNNNNNNNNNNNNNNNNNNNNNNNNNNNNNNNNNNNNNNNNNNNNNNNNNNNNNNNNNNNNNNNNNNNNNNNNNNNNNNNNNNNNNNNNNNNNNNNNNNNNNNNNNNNNNNNNNNNNNNNNNNNNNNNNNNNNNNNNNNNNNNNNNNNNNNNNNNNNNNNNNNNNNNNNNNNNNNNNNNNNNNNNNNNNNNNNNNNNNNNNNNNNNNNNNNNNNNNNNNNNNNNNNNNNNNNNNNNNNNNNNNNNNNNNNNNNNNNNNNNNNNNNNNNNNNNNNNNNNNNNNNNNNNNNNNNNNNNNNNNNNNNNNNNNNNNNNNNNNNNNNNNNNNNNNNNNNNNNNNNNNNNNNNNNNNNNNNNNNNNNNNNNNNNNNNNNNNNNNNNNNNNNNNNNNNNNNNNNNNNNNNNNNNNNNNNNNNNNNNNNNNNNNNNNNNNNNNNNNNNNNNNNNNNNNNNNNNNNNNNNNNNNNNNNNNNNNNNNNNNNNNNNNNNNNNNNNNNNNNNNNNNNNNNNNNNNNNNNNNNNNNNNNNNNNNNNNNNNNNNNNNNNNNNNNNNNNNNNNNNNNNNNNNNNNNNNNNNNNNNNNNNNNNNNNNNNNNNNNNNNNNNNNNNNNNNNNNNNNNNNNNNNNNNNNNNNNNNNNNNNNNNNNNNNNNNNNNNNNNNNNNNNNNNNNNNNNNNNNNNNNNNNNNNNNNNNNNNNNNNNNNNNNNNNNNNNNNNNNNNNNNNNNNNNNNNNNNNNNNNNNNNNNNNNNNNNNNNNNNNNNNNNNNNNNNNNNNNNNNNNNNNNNNNNNNNNNNNNNNNNNNNNNNNNNNNNNNNNNNNNNNNNNNNNNNNNNNNNNNNNNNNNNNNNNNNNNNNNNNNNNNNNNNNNNNNNNNNNNNNNNNNNNNNNNNNNNNNNNNNNNNNNNNNNNNNNNNNNNNNNNNNNNNNNNNNNNNNNNNNNNNNNNNNNNNNNNNNNNNNNNNNNNNNNNNNNNNNNNNNNNNNNNNNNNNNNNNNNNNNNNNNNNNNNNNNNNNNNNNNNNNNNNNNNNNNNNNNNNNNNNNNNNNNNNNNNNNNNNNNNNNNNNNNNNNNNNNNNNNNNNNNNNNNNNNNNNNNNNNNNNNNNNNNNNNNNNNNNNNNNNNNNNNNNNNNNNNNNNNNNNNNNNNNNNNNNNNNNNNNNNNNNNNNNNNNNNNNNNNNNNNNNNNNNNNNNNNNNNNNNNNNNNNNNNNNNNNNNNNNNNNNNNNNNNNNNNNNNNNNNNNNNNNNNNNNNNNNNNNNNNNNNNNNNNNNNNNNNNNNNNNNNNNNNNNNNNNNNNNNNNNNNNNNNNNNNNNNNNNNNNNNNNNNNNNNNNNNNNNNNNNNNNNNNNNNNNNNNNNNNNNNNNNNNNNNNNNNNNNNNNNNNNNNNNNNNNNNNNNNNNNNNNNNNNNNNNNNNNNNNNNNNNNNNNNNNNNNNNNNNNNNNNNNNNNNNNNNNNNNNNNNNNNNNNNNNNNNNNNNNNNNNNNNNNNNNNNNNNNNNNNNNNNNNNNNNNNNNNNNNNNNNNNNNNNNNNNNNNNNNNNNNNNNNNNNNNNNNNNNNNNNNNNNNNNNNNNNNNNNNNNNNNNNNNNNNNNNNNNNNNNNNNNNNNNNNNNNNNNNNNNNNNNNNNNNNNNNNNNNNNNNNNNNNNNNNNNNNNNNNNNNNNNNNNNNNNNNNNNNNNNNNNNNNNNNNNNNNNNNNNNNNNNNNNNNNNNNNNNNNNNNNNNNNNNNNNNNNNNNNNNNNNNNNNAUGAAAGGAAAAACUAAUAGUGCAAGGACUAAGGGAAGUAAGAUUGGUAAAGAGUUUUGCCUGUUGGUACUUGCCACAAUUCUAAUCCAUUGAAAUUUGAAUAUGAUAAAACUAGUUAUCACUGAUUGGACUAUGUCGAAUAUACCUCCAGCUUGCUACUUGUUUAAUGAGAUUUUGUUGCAUCCCUCUCUUUUCCCUACAUGAAAUUAAUGCUCUGCAUGUGACCGGCGCUUGAAAGUGAUUCGUAGUGGGAGAACUCAAGAAAAUUACUUUAGAAAAAAAAAUUAUGAAUGUUUUUGGGCUUUUGACGACAAUUGUUAAAAACGUUUAUGUUGAAGUCAAAGUUGGGAUAUAUAAGGAUUUUUGUAAGUAUCAAGUUCUUUUUAUGUCAUGGUAAUUGAAUUUUAAUUUAUUUUUAACUUCCUGUUAUUAUUUCUUUUUCAGUCUAACAUUUAUCAUGUAGUAAAUUCCAUGACACUUGGAUCUACGGCUCAGGACGUGAAAAUAAUAAUAAUGAGUUAAAAAGAAUAUUCCAUGAUUUGUUCAAUCAAAAGCAGUGGGCCUUACAGCUAUAUAAUAGAGAAAAAAACCUAUCACCAAUUUACUACUAUAUGCCCUAAACAUACUGAGGUGCCAGGGAGACUUCUCAGGAUUAGGCUGAAUAUGGGCCACAAUCUUUAUUGAAGCCAAGGUCAUAUAAUAAUCUAAAAUAUCUAUGCAUGCAUAUUGGUUGGAAAUUUGAGAAAUUGAAGCAAAUUUCCGUAGAUUUUCUUAAGAACUCCACUUGAUUCCGCCAUUGAGUGGUGAAAAAUUAGCGUUGAAGCAUAGCCAGAAUAAGAUUAAUAUUUAUUUCAACUACCAAAUCCAAUUUCAAUAGCCAAAAUAUCUACAAAAUCACAAGUUAAAGUUUUAUUUUAAUUUCUACACUGCAAAAUUUUUGACAUCAUUGAAGGGCUGCGAAACAUAUAAAAUUGGCGUCAACAUUGACACUUCAGCUGGCAACCAACAUUUAAGGUAAGUUACAGAAUUGAACAUAAAGGCCACAAAAUACACAAGUCCAGAUCAAAUGAUAAAUAUUAUGUUGACCAAAUAAUAUAUGAAGUAUACUGAACAAAAAUAAAUUGCAAUGAUGACAAUAUUUUAUUAUUUCAGAAAACCACAAACAGCAAAUGAAACUGGAGAAAGCAACAGUGGCUAAAAAAGAAUAGAAAUUUGUAAAUCGAGGUCUGUGUAUUACAUAGUGUCCUUAAAACAGAUUCAUCCAUUCACCAUAAGUACUUGAAGUUUGUUUGGACGUCUCUUUUCAAGCAUACAAUGUUACGCAGAUGAGGAAGAGAAGGAAUUCAUGGGCCUCUGACAUUGGAAAAAUUGGCUCUAUACAAAGGCUCCAACAUGAGUGAUAAUGGCCCCAUAAUGAGUGACUUUACAAUAAGUAGUCAUGGGAGUUGAAGAGACAUCUGGAAGGGGAAAAAAAACAAUGUACAAGAAAUAAAAACAAAAAGUGGAUACUCCUAAGGGGCCGAUUUUUGCUUCGUUUAGUCCCACAUUCAUGUACACAAGUCGUGCCCGAAAACAAUUUCAAGGUCCGAACCCGAAAACAAUUUCAAGGUCCGAAGUUUUGAUUCGGUCAUUGAUUUACACCCCCUUGUGCGCACACAUGAAGAAAGCCUGUAUGCUAUACGUGAUUACAUCCUUCCAAAAUGUAAUCGUAUAUAAACUGUUUAUUGCUUUGAUCAUUUUCCUAUGUGGGACAAACUACACAUAGUUUUUUCCUUCAACACAAAAUAAUCUUCCAAUGCUUUAACUUUGAGCUUUAAUUUCUUAUUAACCCAAGAAUCAUUUUUGGCAAAUAAAUAUAUGAUUUCGGUGUUCUUACAGAGGAGAACAUCAAUCUAUUUUGAUUUUCAAAAUUGAUUAAAUGGGUACUACUGAAAAUUAUGCCAAAAGUGAUUCAAUGAGCCACAUUUUCCAGCAGAUUACAUUAGCACACUCCCACAUAAACAUGCAGCACAUAUACUAAUAGAGAAAAAUUGAGGAUAAUGGAUACUUGACUACUAUGAUCUUGGAUUUGAUGCCAAAAGAUUUAAAAGCAAUACGACGAGCAUAUCUAAGAGGUACAGUUCUAAUAUGGGAGGCAGGCAACAAACCUGAUUCGACUACACCAUUUGCGAUGCUCUCAGCCAUUUUUCCAGCCCCAAUUAAACCUAGCUUGUAGAGUCACUUGGAAUUGGUACAAUGGUCGUCAUCUAGAAUUUUUGAAGACAAACUAACAAUGAACUAAAAGAAAUAGAGAAAAAAUGGACAAUAUUUUCUAACUAAAACCAUGAGUAGAUUUUUAUUUAUAGAAAAAUAAAAUAACAGAUUCCUUAAAAGAUAGGAGGUCAAAGUAAACAAGAUAACUUUACAAACUUAAGCAAGUUGUUGAACAUUUGAAUCGAUUUUAUCAUGAUCUGUACAAGGAUAAAUUGUCAGGUGAAAUUUUGUUGAUUAUAAUGACAAUCAUGCUAAGAAACACGAAUCACAAAAUAAUAAAUUGAUACUUCAAAUUCAUACCCGAGGAAGACAUUGUGGAUAUGAAUAUUAACAGUUAGAUCUUUCUCUCAUUGCUCCUCACAAAGUAUUAGCCGUCAAUGGGGCAGGCCAAUAAAACAAUAUGGAGAGGAUAUGAGACCUAGCCUUUAUAUAGGAAUUUAUUGAGUCAUUCCAUUAAUGACUCCAAUCCUAAUUAAGGUUUACAUAUAUUUCCGGUUCACAUACUUAAAAUUACCACAUCAAAUAAAAUAUAACCCAUAAGGUAUAAAACAAUCCAAGUGAUCACUUAACAUAUUGGGGUUAAUCAUAGUAUUAUUAUGAACCAUACAUCUAACCCGUAAAAUUUACAAUCAAAUGGGAAGCCUAUAUUUAGAAUUAUUCUAACAUUCUCCAACUUGGACAAACAUUUGAUUGUUAUAAAACAAACUUUUGACUUUCGGGUUAGACUACAUAAGUGGCUACAAAAGUAUAGCUCCAAUGAUAACACCUUAUGUAACAUGAUCUGGUCAAACAAGAAUAUCGAAAUCGAACAUGGAAGUUGUUAUACCAUAUAAAUGAUGUAAGACCACUCCACAACUACAAAUGCUAACAUCCUUAUCGACAUGGAUUCCUAUCCUCCAACCAAUGUGGUAGUAUGGGACAUGAACUUAGCACCAAAUGUGAUAAAAAAAUUGUGCUAGUUUAUAUUGAUCCUCAUAAUGCUUCAAAUAAAAAAUGAAGCCACAUGUCUUUAAAAAAGACUCAUCUUUUAUCUUUAUCAGUUAUAUCUCGAGAUCAUAAUAACAUCAUAAUUAAAAAGACAUAAGUCAAAUGCAUGCUCAAAAUAAUUCAUGGAUAGGGAAAAACUUAUUUUAUUAUUGGAAGGGGCCAUACCCGAAAAAUAUAUGGGUUGCCUGCGUACCUCAUAAAGGGAUCAAGCCAAAAUGUAGUUCUUUCAUGUAAGCAACUCCCGCUAACCUAGAACGUCAAAGGUUCCACAAUACCUAUAUUAGCAACAUGUGUUUUAAAUUUUUUUGGAACAAGUCCCUUAGUCAAAGGAUAUGCAAUCAUUGCCUCUGUAUUGAUAUGCGUUAUUUUCAUCUGCCCUUCCUCAACUCUAUCUCUAAAUAACAAAUAUUUGAUGUCAAUGUGUUUUGACCCACCAGAACUUUUAAUACUCCUUGAAAAGAACAUUGUUGUGCUAUUAUCACAAUAAAUAGUGAUUGGUCUCGAGAUGGAAUCAACAACAUUCAACCUAGAAACGAAAUUUCUUAACCAAACGGCUUCGACGAUAGCCCCAUAACAUGUCACAAAUCUAGCUUGCAUGGUAGAAGAUGCCGUUAGAGUUUGUUUAACACUUUUUCAAGAGAUAGCACCACCAACAAACAUGAAUAUAUAACCUGAUGUUCAUUCCAAAUCAUCUUAACAUCCAGCAAAACCAAAAUCUGAGUAGUCUUGAAAAUUGGAAUGCAAGCAUAUAACCUUUAGUUUUCUUCAAAUACCUUAGAACUUUUUUAGCUACUUUCCAAUGUUAUUGCCUUGGAUUCGUCUGAAACGUACUAAGAACACUAACCGCAUAGGCUAUAUUCUGUCUAGUGCAAACUUGAACAUACAUCAAACUUCCCACAUCACUAGCGAAUGGUAUCAUCUUCAUAGAUUUCCUUUCUAGCUCAUUUCUUGGACAUUGAGCCUUGUUAAACUUAUCCCCUUUUAUGAUGAUUACAUCGUUAGGUGCACAGUUCUGCAUAUUGGACCUUUCUAGAACACGUCGUAUAUAAGCCUUUUGAGAAAGUUUUAAUAAGCCACGAUUUCUAUCAUGAUGUAUUUUAAUGCCAAGCACAUAAGAAGAUUCUUCAAAAUCUUUCAUCUCAAAAUUAGCAUAUAACAUUUUCUUUGUCACGUAAAGCAACCCCAAGUUGUUGCUAGAAAGUAAAAUAUCAUCAACAUAUAGGACAAAAAAAAUAAAAUUUCUCCUACUAUAUUUUAGAUAAAUACAUUGAUCAACUGUAUUUUCAACAAAACUAAGAGAAGUCACAAACUUGUCAAACUUUAUAUACCACGAUCAUGAUACUUUUUUGAUGCCAUAUAAGGAUUUGUUAACUUACAUACCAAAUUUUCUCUUCCAUUCACAAUAAAACCUUCAUGUUGUCUCGUGUAAACAUUUUCAGAAAAAUCUCCAUUCGAAAAGGUUGUCUUAACAUCCAUAGGAUGAAACUCAAAAUUAUAGUGUGUUACAAGUGCUAUGAUAAUUCUAAAAGAAUCUUUGGAUGAAAACAGAUGAGAAGGUUUCACUAUAGUGAAUGUCCUCUCACUAAGUGAACCCUUUUUGCAACCAAUCUUGCCUUCUUUCAUUCAACAUUUCCUUUCAAAUUCAAUUUACUUUUCAAGAUCCGCAUGUUAUCUAUAGCUUUAGUUUCCGAAGGGAGUUCUACAAAUUCGUAAACGUUAUUCUGUUCCAUAGAGUUCAUUUCAUCUUCCAUAGUAUUUAUCCAUUUAUUUGAUUCAGCACUUGUCAAUGCUUGACUAUAAAUAACAAGAUCAAAAAUAUGCCUAAUAUCAAAAUCAGUAUCUAAUAAAUAGGUAAUGUAAUCACUGGACAAUGCAGAUCUCCUUAAUUGGGCUAGUUGUCCAAUUGGUAUCAGUAUUCAACUUAUGUCUUACUUAAGAGAAGGUCAAGAGUUUGAAUCUUGGGAGACGUGGCAGAAAGCUGUGAGGGAUAAGUGGGCCCAAGGUCCAUCCAAAAUGGACAGUACGGAAGCUAAUGACUUGGGUAAGAGGCCUAGGUCGUUACAUCCAACAUCUUUUCAACUCGCCUCACACCUUUUCUGGCAUGUUGAAUUGAUAUUGACUUGACCCUUUUUUUGACUCCUUUUUUCUGACUCUUUUUUACUCUUUUUCUAACUUUUUUUCAUUCUUUCUUCUUGACUCUUUUUUUUUUUGAUAAAACAGUACAGAUGAAUAGUACCAUACGGAAUGAGCAGUGUUUUUUUUCGAAAACUUGACGAUGAAUCAAAGACUCAACAAACAAGGAAACAUCACCACGAAAAUAAAAUAAAUGAACAAAAAACUCAAUAAAAUAAAAACUGGAUAUAACCUUGAUCUUGGUGCCUAAGCUCUGAUACCAAAUGAUGUGAACCCGGUUAACAAGGUUGAAUCGAACCCACAGGAAUUGACAUCGAAUCCCAAGAACGCCCAAAUAAUUAUCAAGGUUUAGGAAUCGACCCACCAAAGUGAACCAAGCAACCGAAUGUAUAUGAAACAAAUGACCUCUUAAUCACACAAUCUUGAAAUAUCCUUCGGAUUUGCGGAUUUGAAUUCCAAAAUAAUUGAAUUAAGCAACCAAAGGUGUAUUAAACUUAUGACCUCUUAAUUACAAGAUUUUGAAAUCACACCCGAUAAAUUUAAACGCCACAUGAUGUUUUAGAUCUUGAUAAGUUCGAAGGUUUGAAGCAUCUCUCCUCGAAAGAGAAAAUUCUCCAUUCAAUAAUUCAUUAUGAAAAGUCUUAUUACAAUGUGGAAAAUAAAGAACUAUUUAUACUAAAACCCUAGGAAGAAUUAAAAAGGAAUUAAAACACUCAAACCCAAUUUGAAAGGAAUAAAACACGUCCUAAAUUAUGGCAAGGUAUCAAAAGAUAAGAUUUCUUAUUAAAUCUAAAAACUGGCGAGAAAAAUCUGAAAUUCUGCCAUUGGAAUAACUGUACGACCGCAUGGAGUGUCGAAAUGCAAUCGCAUGGUUCCAGUGAUAUUAGCGAGACAAAGUUCUGCCCCAACUCGUGCGACCGCAUGUUGAUUCAGGUGGUACGGUCGCGGAAGUAUACAUUUCAGCCUUUUUGUCUCUUUUUCAUUUCAAUUUAUUCUAAUCUACUUUGCUUCCUCUUCCAUUGGCUAACACAAGUUGGUCCCUCAUGUUUUGUCUUCCAUUCCCAGCAUGUCAUUUCCAUUGGUUGACACCAUUUGUUCCAGCUGAUUUUUUUUUAUAAGCUCAUCAGGCAUUUAUUCAUACCAACCCUCACUUAAGGCGAAGAAAAACUGUAAUAAUAACCGAUCAAUCAAUAAAAAAUAACCAAUAAUCUCAAACUCCUAUCAAUGUAAUCUAACAACGGAAAAAAAGCCUAUCUUUUCUGACGAAUAUACACCGCACCCAUCUUGUCUAGACAGAUCAAGCCUCGACAAAACCUUAGUAGUUCCGUACAUGAUAAGAACCGUUCUGUCUUCCCCUUAGCACCUAACUUCACCAAUUCAUCCGCAACCUGAUUAGCUUCUCUAUACUGAUGCAUGAUGUGAAAGUCAAACUUCUUGAUAAGGUCUAUGAGAACUUCCCAAAAAUCCCACAAGUACCAUAACGAACAUUUUCUUGUCAGAAUCCAAGAAACCACUAACAAUGAAUCACAUUCAAUAUCCACUUGAUAUAAUCCCAAAUCAUGACACAAGGUCAGUCCAUCAGUAAGCGCUCUCAACUCUGCCUCAUUGUUAGUGCCAUAUCCAAAGAAAGAGGAGAAAACUGAUAUCAGCCUGCCCGUUUCAUCCCUUACAACCCCACCACCACCAGCCAUACUUGGGUUGCCUAGACAGCUUCCAUCUACAUUUAGUUUUACUCUGCUCGCCACUGGUUUAGCCCAUUUAACAAUCCGAAGAGGUCUCUCCUGAUUCUCCAUUUAGUUUCUAAGAAGUAAUUCUUUUGACCGCGAGAGAACUCGUUCUUUUUUCAAAUUGGAUGACACAUGUUGCAGCCAAAAUUUAAUGGAACGAAAAAUCUGCUCCACAAUUUCAUGAACACCUUCCAUUCUCGCUUUACAACGUCUCAUCUAUAGCCUCCACGUCAGUAUAGUUGGAAGUAACCCUUGUAAGUACCCAACUUGUGAUUUUUAACCUGUAAUGGCCCACCAUAAAUUUACUCUAUCAUACCAGUUUUGUUUAGAUCUCCACCGAAUGCCCAAAGCCACUGAACCUUUCCUCCAAACUUCGUUUGCCAUCUCACCUGUACUAAGAACAUGGUUGGGUAUUUCUUCAUUUCCUGUAAGGCAGCAAUCACAACGAGAAGCUAAGGCUACACCCAUUUGCCGAACUCUACUAUCAACACUUAAAGCUUUAGAAAAAGCCUUCCACAUUAUCACUGACAUUCUUUUUGGGAGUGCAGAAUGCCAUACCCAUCUACCCCAAGAGGUUUGGGGCUGUUGAACUCUAAUCAUGUCCCAUGCACUCUUGGAAGAGAAUGUUCCUUUUCUAUUCGGUUUCCAAAUAAGAACAUCAUCCCCCUCUCUACAUUUACUCACCUUAGCCAUAACACUGGCGGCUUUGUCUUCCCCUACAAGUUGCAGUAAUUGAUUCAUAUUCCAACCACUAUCCAAGCAAAUAUCGUUGAUUCUAAGAGUUGGUUGAUCAAUAUGUGAUGCGUCCCAUGACAAAGGGCCAUCAUCUAACCAAUGAGCAUACCAGAACGAGAUGGAACCCUCCCUAAUCCGCCAUUGAUUUCUAUUAAUCACAUCAGGGAUGCAUCCCACAAUAGAGCACCAGAAUCGAGAGCCUAUACAGCGUAUAUUGGAGACAUCAAUCAAUCCAUGCUUCAUAUAUUUUGCCCGAAAAAAGGUUGCCCAUAAGCAAUCUGAUGACAGUAAUUUCCAUGCAAACUUCAUCUGUAGGGUACGCUGGACAUCUUCAAAUUUCCUAACUCUGAUCCCCCUCCACCAUCGGUUUACAAAGUUUAUCUCAAGAACACCAUUUCUUCCUAGUCCUUCCAAACCUCACCACAAAAGAAAGAUGAGAGGAUGGAAUUGAGUCUCUUAAAUAUAGAUUUUGGAACAUUUAACACAAACAACAAAUGUGUAGCGAUACACGUGAGAACAUGACGAAGUAAGACCAAUCUAUCCCCUUGCGACAGCAAUUGAAGCUUCCAACCUGCAAUUUUCUUUCUGAUUUUCUCCACCAAGGGCUCAAGAUGGCGGGCAGUUAAACGACCCUGGACCACUGGAACACCCAAGUAGAUAACUAGAAAUUGACCCUCCUUAAAACUAGAACCUUCCUGAGCUCUCUGAUAGACCUUUUCCUUCCAUUGGCAAAAAUGAUUAAAUCAUCAGCAUACAUCAAAUGAGUUAUCGCAGUCGUGCCCCUAGGGUGUGAGAAGCACCCAAUCUGUCCUUCCUCAAAACCCCUCUUCAGCAGUCUAGUCAACACCUCUUGUAUGAUAAUAAACAAAUAAGGGGAUAAAGGAUCUCCUUGACGAAGAGCACGCGUUGAUUUAAAAAAACCUUGCAUGGUUCCAUUCAUCAUCACUGAGAACCAUGGUGUGGAUAUACAUUGUUCAAUUAACUUACAAAACAUCAUCGGGAACCCAAAGGAUGAUAAAACAUGAAGUAAGAAAUGCCACUCCACCCUAUCAUAUGCUUUAGCCAUAUCUACUUUAAUCAUCACAUUUCCACCGCGAACCUUUUUAUUCAAAGAGUUCACUAAUUCUUGAGUGAGUGUAAUGUUCUCGAAAAUACUUCGACCUGGGAUGAAGGCUCCUUGCUCUUGAGAAAUAAUCCUAGAAAGUAUAACACUCAUUCUCUGCACCAAAAUCUUCGAAAAUAUUUUGUACACAACAGAGCAAAGAUAAAUCUGGCACAAUUUCGCUUUCCUCACUCGUAAGAACAAUCUGAAGAUAUUUCACAGCUUCUGCAUGUAUUUGUUGCGGAGUCGACAUGAUAGUGCCGUCUGUAAGCUUCAUCUGAUUUAACUUUGAUUUUCUUCGUCUUUGCGAGACUACAGCAUGAUAAAAUUUUGAAUUGUUAUCACUGUCAGACAACCAUUUCUUUUUUGCCAGUUGGGAUAAUCUAAUUUCCUCUCUUCUUUGCCAUUCCUCCAAUUCCAUUUUAGAACUCAAGUAUUCUUGUUCUGCCUCAUUAGAAAAUGCAGCUUGUAACCUACUAUCGAGAGCCCCCACACGUUCUUCUAAUUCCAAAAUAACAUUAUCAACCCUCCCAAAAAGCUCUUUAUUCCACAAUUUCAAAGCUUUUUUAGUAGCCUUCAGUUUAGCCAUUACUUUUUCUAAGCCACCCAACAUCAAACCACUCUCUCCCAAUCUCCAUGCUGCCUCCACAAGUGGUAAAAAACCCUCAUGCUCACACCACAUUCGUUGGAAUCGAAAUGGAGUCGGGCCAUACAAAGCAUACUUCUUUUGCAAGUUAAUAGUCAUAGGGCGAUGAUCAGAAGAUGUUCCUGACAUGUACUUCAUACUUGCUUCCGAGAAGUCAUGUAACACCUCCUCAUUUACCAGUGUUCUGUCUAGCCGCGCCCAACUUUCUAGUCAAACCCUCAUGUCCAUUGCACCAAGAUAAUUUUCUACCUAGAACUGGUACUUCCAAGAGACAACACUUGUCAAUGCACUCAUUAAAAUCUUCCAUAGCCUGAAGAGGUCUAGGGUGGCCACCCACUCGCUCAAAGUCAUUUCUAAUGAUAUUGAAAUCGCUAGAGACUACCCAAGGAAGGCCACUCACCCUAACAUUCUCCAACUCCUGCCAAAGUUUCCUCCUUUCCAAAGCAUUACAUUUCGCAUAAAUGAACGACACUAACAUCUUAUAUUCUCCCUUCAUGAAAACUCCAUGUAAAGCUUGAUCCGAGAAAUGAACCCAGUCAACCUUGUAAUCUUCACUCCAAAAAAUCCAUAAUUUACCUCUUGUUUUCUCAUUUGAUAUAAAGUUUGGCAACUUUAUUUUACAAGCCAAAAGCUUCAUUUUUUCUUCCCCAAGAAAAGGUUUCGCAAUCCCUAGUAUUUCCACAUUGAGUUUUCUCACUAACUUUCCUAUCCUUCCUUUUGACGUGCCCACCCCUCGCACUUUCCAUACUAAUAGUUGAUCAAUCAUAAGUCAAGUUUUGUAGGGCGUGCUUGCGCCCUCUGUGAUGCUCUAGUAACCUGGGGAAUAGUCUUCUGUCCUUCAAUAUAUUGUUUAUGGACCUCUGAAUCAGACCAAUAGUCGGGGUCUUUCUUCCCUUUGCAUCCCCUUGUUUCCUUUUCACAAUCAAACUCGUGAUGGAUAGGAUGCUGCUGUUGUUCUUCUCUACCAUCUUGCACAGUCACAUCAUCACCAUCAAUAGGAUACCCCUCAUUCCCUACUGCUAUCUCGUCAUUUACAACCUCCAAAUCUUCAUCAACCACUUUGGAAAAGUCCUUCACAAUGUCAAUGCUGGAUGGAGCUUCCUUUCCUACACCUAUAUCAACAUGUGUUGAAUCGUCUUUCAUAGUCAAAUCCUCACUUAUUUUAGCCUCCAAUAGUACAACCUCCCUCUCUCCAAUUUGAGCUUUCUCUACCCCAAUCAAACCACUAUCUCUCGUAUUCACCAAGGGGUCAGCCUCCUUAAACCUCACUAUAGCAUCACACAAACUCUCACUCUCCUUGACAAAUUUACCGGUCCCCACCGAUGAUUCUCCCUUCUCAAUUCGAGUAAUCUCCAGUUGCCCAAUUAUUUCAUCCACCUUAUCUUUAUUUUUCGCCAUAUCCUGCCCCUCUUUCUUGCGCCAUUCCUGUCUCUCCAUCACUUUUUGAAGGAGCACACGGCUCUGUCCAACCCGAGACACAGAUUCAGGAUGACCUUGUCGACCACAUUUGAUACAAUAGAAACCUGGCUUCUCAUACCGAACCUCUUGCCAAAAUGUCUUCGGUGAAUUAACAAUAAGAAAACUCCUGACUGGUUCUGCAAGCAAAUCUACUUCAAUAAACAUUCUAGCCCUUGUGGCCCGAGAUCGAUUCAAUGUUGCACGAUCAGUCCCCAAGUAUCUUCCAAAUUGAGUCGGCAAUAAUCUUAAGCAAUCUGGUCUAUGCAUAUGCAUCGGCAAACUUGGCAAAAAGAUCCACUGUGCAGUAAUAGAAGAUUCUCUAUUGAGAUCAAACUCCGCCGACCAUUUGAAGAGACGAAAUGUCGCCCCAGCCAAGGAUCGACCCUCUCUUGUCCACACAUGCAAGUAAUCUAUCUCAUUCUUCAAUUGAAUCAGCACAUGUGAGGCAUCCAUGUAGCUAAUUACUGGAAUCACUUGAAGACCCCAAGCCUUGUUAAUAGUUCGUCAAACUUCAUCAAUGUUUGGCCUCACCGUGAGGAAUUUCAACACCAAAACAAACCGUAAGUCCUCAGAUAGGGUCUUCUCUUCCACAUUUGUAAACAUAAAUCCAAGAUCACCGUUAAUCAAUUUUGGACCUCGCAUCGUGAUGGCCAAAUCCAUUUUUAUCACCGUCUGAUUAAUCCUAGUUUUCUCACGCGGCUUGACAACCUCUGAAUACGAUCUGCUGUGUUGCACUCCAGUUGGAAACCCACCUAUUGUGACUCCACCCUGAUGCUCAUCGGAAAGCCCUGCCGGUACUGGUUGCACCGGCAGGAGGGUAGUCAUGG
rnacentral:lncRNA from 1 species